ACCCACAAUAUUCAAGUUUUGCCCAAAUACAAGAGAUUAUGCCAGGAAGAGGGUGAUAGGAGUUCAUUUUUAAAUGUUGCCCAUUACACUGGGACUGUGAUCUAAAACUCUGACAAGACACAAGUUUCUCAAAUCAUGCUCAAGUUACCCCUCCUCAGAUUACAGCAAUCACUUAAUCCUAAGUACCUCCAAACCAAGUAGUACAAGAAAAGCUCAUCAGUGUCAGAUGUAUUCUUAAUUCUAGGCAUUCUAAGCAGGACUGUCAGAGUUGGAGAGGAAAGGCCACAAUUUCAUGCACUUCCCACAGCAGGUUACCACAAAUGUUUGUGAAUCCUUUAGAGGAAGACAAUAAAAGAUGCCAUGUCUGAAGAUCUUACCCCUUUCCAAAGACAUUUGCAAUAUCUCUCACCCCACGUGCUCUUCCACAGUGUGAUUUUGUCCCCCACCUUCUGCUGCUUUCCAAAGAAGUGAAGUCUAUUUAAUCUCCUUGAUUAAAUAGACCUGCACAGACCUGUAGAAUAUGGCAGAAGAGAAGUUGUGUCCAUUCUGGGUUCAGCCAUCAACUGGCCUGGCAGCUUCUGUUUCCUUCCUUUGGAUCACUUAGUCUUGAUUUGUUCCAUCUGAGAACCCAAACAAUGUGCUAUGAGAUGUACAAGUCAAGAGGAGAGAUCACAUAUAGGCAUACUGGUCAACCACCAACCACAACUGCCAGCCACAAGAGGCUGCCAUCUUGGAUGACCAGGCCAGUCCAGUCUUCAAAUGACUGCAACUCCAGCCACCAUCUGACUGCAACCAAACCAAUUAAUAAAUAUUGGUUAUUUUCUCUGUGAUUAUUCCCCAUGGAAAACCCCAAGCUGAAUUCACUCAACCCACAGAAAUAUGAUGAAAGAUGAUAAAUAGUUGUUUUAAUCCACUGAAAUUAGAGAAAUCUUUUACAGCAAUAGAUAACCAGAUACUCCUAUUCCAAUUCGUCAUAUAUAUGAACUAAUAUCAGACCUGGCCACCAUGUGGGUGACAGUCUCCAUGAAGGAACAAUUCAAAGUUCCCGCUCUUCUUUGGGCAUCCAUUUUCCCAUCUGUGAAACAUCAUGAUAGGACUAGGUUAGGAUUUCAACCUAGAGGUCACCAUGGAUUGUCACUGGUUAGAGACGACAUUUCUAAAAACUGGAUGGAAGCUGCACAAUUCUAUGUGAUGAAGCCACACUAGCUAACUGAAAACCAAGUUCCCUUGUUUGAGGCUGGAAUUAUAUCAACUCAGUGCAUCAACACUGUUCCCGUCUGCUAGUCAGAGCUGGUUAGCAGUCACAUAUGGCUGUGAUAGCUAAAAAUGAAAUAAAGAAUUAAAUGUUG